UGGAGUACAGCUUAUUGAUAGAAUACUUGCCUUGCAUGCAAGAGACCCUGAGUUCAAUACUUAAUACUGCAA
rnacentral:tRNA from 1 species